GCCAACGACCAUACCACGUUGAAUACACCAGUUCUCGUCCGAUCACUGAAGUUAAGCAACGUCGGGCGUAGUUAGUACUUGGAUGGGUGACCGCUUGGGAACACUACGUGCCGUUGGCAUAG
rnacentral:rRNA from 1 species